GGGGAAUAUUGCACAAUGGACGAAAGUCUGAUGCAGCAACGCCGCGUGGAGGAUGACACAUUUCGGUGCGUAAACUCCUUUUAUAUAGGAAGAUAAUGACGGUACUAUAUGAAUAAGCACCGGCUAACUCCGUGCCAGCAGCCGCGGUAAUACGGAGGGUGCAAGCGUUACUCGGAAUCACUGGGCGUAAAGAGCGUGUAGGCGGGUAUAUAAGUCAGAAGUGAAAUCCAAUAGCUCAACUAUUGAACUGCUUUUGAAACUGUAUACCUAGAAUGUGGGAGAGGUAGAUGGAAUUUCUGGUGUAGGGGUAAAAUCCGUAGAGAUCAGAAGGAAUACCGAUUGCGAAGGCGAUCUACUGGAACAUUAUUGACGCUGAGACGCGAAAGCGUGGGGAGCAAACA
rnacentral:rRNA from 1 species